GUGCCAGCAGCCGCGGUAAAACGUAGGAGGCGAGCGUUAUCCGGAUUUACUGGGCGUAAAGGGCGUGCAGGUGGCUGUGUAAGUGGUGCGUGAAAGCGCUCGGCUCAACCGGGCGAGGCCGUGCCAAACUGCACAACUAGAAACAGGCAGAGGAAAGUGGAAUUCGGGGUGUAGUGGUGAAAUGCGUAGAGAUCCCGAGGAACUCCUGUGGCGAAGGCGACUUUCUGGGCCUGCUUUGACACUCAGACGCGAAAGCAUGGGGAGCGAACGGGAUUAGAAACCCUUGUAGUCC
rnacentral:rRNA from 1 species